rnacentral:rRNA from 1 species
AAUCGAAGCCCCAGUAAACGGCGGCCGUAACUAUAACGGUCCUAAGGUAGCGAAAUUCCUUGUCGGGUAAGUUCCGACCCGCACGAAAGGCGUAACGAUUUGGGCACUGUCUCAACGAGAGACUCGGUGAAAUCAUAGUACCUGUGAAGAUGCAGGUUACCCGCGACAGGACGGAAAGACCCCGUGGAGCUUUACUGUAGCCUGAUAUUGAAAUUCGGCACAGCUUGUACAGGAUAGGUAGGAGCCUUUGAAACGUGAGCGCUAGCUUACGUGGAGGCGCUGGUGGGAUACUACCCUAGCUGUGUUGGCUUUCUAACCCGCACCACUUA